ACAGGUUACUUGCCUGAACAUGGUUAGUGUACUAACAGGUCUGCCCACCCCUACCCUCACCCCCAGCUUCAUGCCAGCAUAUGUAGAUUUGAGUUCUAACACAGCACUUGCAUAUCCCAUGUGCACAAGCUCACCUUUCCAGAACCAGCUGGGCGCAGAAGAAAGGCAGUAACUGCAGCAUGUGAAAGCUAAAACAAGUAGCCUUCUAGUCAUUUCUUUCUUUCCCCAGCCAGAUAAAAGGAGCUUCAAUAUAUGUGUACUUGAUUUUUAUUCACUUCAGCUGAGCUGCUGUUUCCUUCAUGUAAUAUUGUAUACUGGGUUGUGUAUAGAAGAAGCUGGUAAGAGUGCCCUCCUUCAUAAAUAAGCAAUUGCAGUGUUUUGCAUGCAAAUUUAAAAAAAUUUAAAUUGUCCUGAUUCUAUUUUGUAAAUGGAGAAACAAUCUUUCUAAGCAGUAUGGAGGAAGACUAGUGCUUUGUGCACUUUUGGUAUAUUUGAGUUCAUGUUUCCACAAUGUCAUUCCCUUGACACAGUUGGGUUUCUCAUAAGUAUCCUAGUUCAUGUACAUCCGAAUGCUAACUAAUACUGUGUUUAAGUUUCGUGUUGCAAGAACAAAUGGAAUAAACUUGAAUUGUGCU
rnacentral:lncRNA from 1 species